rnacentral:rRNA from 1 species
UGUGCUAAUACAUGCAGUCGAGCGGACAGAUGGGAGCUUGCUCCCUGAUGUUAGCGGCGGACGGGUGAGUAACACGUGGGUAACCUGCCUGUAAGACUGGGAUAACUCCGGGAAACCGGGGCUAAUACCGGAUGGUUGUCUGAACCGCAUGGUUCAGACAUAAAAGGUGGCUUCGGCUACCACUUACAGAUGGACCCGCGGCGCAUUAGCUAGUUGGUGAGGUAACGGCUCACCAAGGCGACGAUGCGUAGCCGACCUGAGAGGGUGAUCGGCCACACUGGGACUGAGACACGGCCCAGACUCCUACGGGAAGGCAGCAGUAGGGAAUCUUCCGCAAUGGACGAAAGUCUGACGGAGCAACGCCGCGUGAGUGAUGAAGGUUUUCGGAUCGUAAAGCUCUGUUGUUAGGGAAGAACAAGUGCCGUUCAAAUAGGGCGGCACCUUGACGGUACCUAACCAGAAAGCCACGGCUAACUACGUGCCAGCAGCCGCGGUAAUACGUAGGUGGCAAGCGUUGUCCGGAAUUAUUGGGCGUAAAGGGCUCGCAGGCGGUUUCUUAAGUCUGAUGUGAAAGCCCCCGGCUCAACCGGGGAGGGUCAUUGGAAACUGGGGAACUUGAGUGCAGAAGAGGAGAGUGGAAUUCCACGUGUAGCGGUGAAAUGCGUAGAGAUGUGGAGGAACACCAGUGGCGAAAGGCGACUCUCCUGGUCUGUAACUGGACGCUGAGGAGCG